CCGAGUUUACAACUCCCAAACCCCUGUGAACAUACCUACUAUGUUGCCUCGGCGGAUCAGCCCGCGCCCCGUAAAACGGGACGGCCCGCCGCAGGAUCCCUAAACUCUGUUUCUAUAUGUAACUUCUGAGUAAAAACCAUAAUAAAUCA
rnacentral:misc_RNA from 1 species